rnacentral:rRNA from 1 species
GAAUUCACUAGUGAUUCUAACACAUGCAAGUCGAGGGGUAUAGUUCUUAGGAACUAGGGACCGGCGCACGGGUGCGUAAUGCGUAUGCAAUCUUCCUUUUGCAGAGGGAUAGCCCAGAGAAAUUUGGAUUAAUACCUCAUAGUAUGUGAGAAUGGCAUCAUUUUCACAUUAAAGUCACAACGGCAGAAGAUGAGCAGGCGUCCCAUUAGUUUGUUGGUAAGGUAACGGCUUACCAAGGCAACGAUGGGUAGGGGUCUUGAGAGGGAGAUCCCCCACACUGGUAGUGAGACAUGGACCAGACUCCUCCGGGAGGCAGCAGUGAGGAAUAUUGGACAAUGGGCGCAAGCCUGAUACAGCCAUGCCGCGUGCAGGAUGACGGUCCUAUGGAUUAAAGAUGCUUUUGUACAGGAAGAAACACUGGUUCGGAACCAGCUGACGGUA